UACGUAGGGCGCGAGCGUUGUCCGGAAUUAUUGGGCGUAAAGAGCUCGUAGGCGGCCUGUUGCGUCCGCUGUGAAAUCCCGGGGCUUAACCCCGGGCGUGCAGUGGAUACGGGCUGGCUGGAGGCAGGCAGGGGAGAACGGAAUUCCCGGUGUAGCGGUGAAAUGCGCAGAUAUCGGGAGGAACACCGGUGGCGAAGGCGGCAUCCUGGACCAACACUGACACUGAGGAGCGAAAGCCAGGGGAGCAAACGGG
rnacentral:rRNA from 1 species